rnacentral:rRNA from 1 species
UUUGAUCCUGGCUCAGGACGAACGCUGGCGGCAGGCUUAACACAUGCAAGUCGAGCGGAGAUGAGGUGCUUGCACCUUAUCUUAGCGGCGGACGGGUGAGUAGUGCUUAGGAAUCUGCCUAUUAGUGGGGGACAACAUUCCGAAAGGAAUGCUAAUACCGCAUACGUCCUACGGGAGAAAGCAGGGGAUCUUCGGACCUUGCGCUAAUAGAUGAGCCUAAGCCGGAUUAGCUAGUUGGUGGGGUAAAGGCCUACCAAGGCGACGAUCUGUAGCGGGUCUGAGAGGAUGAUCCGCCACACUGGGACUGAGACACGGCCCAGACUCCUACGGGAGGCAGCAGUGGGGAAUAUUGGACAAUGGGGGGAACCCUGAUCCAGCCAUGCCGCGUGUGUGAAGAAGGCCUUAUGGUUGUAAAGCACUUUAAGCGAGGAGGAGGCUACUGAGACUAAUACUCUUGGAUAGUGGACGUCACUCGCAGGAUAAGCACCGGCUAACUCUGUGCCAGCAGCCGCGGUAAUACAGAGGGUGCGAGCGUUUAUCGGAUUUACUGGGCGUAAAGCGUGCGUAGGCGGCCUUUCUAGUCCGAUGUGAAAUCCCCGAGCUAACUGGGGAAUUGCCUCCGAUACGGGGCAGCUAAGUAUUGGGAAGGAUCGUAUAAUUCCAGG